UACGAAGGGGGCUAGCGUUGUUCGGAUUUUACUGGGCGUAAAGCGCACGUAGGCGGAUAUUUAAGUUAGGGGUGAAAUCCCAGAGCUCAACUCUGGAACUGCCUCUAAUACUGGGUAUCUAGAGUUCGAGAGAGGUGAGUGGAAUUCCGAGUGUAGAGGUGAAAUUCGUAGAUAUUCGGAGGAACACCAGUGGCGAAGGCGGCUCACUGGCUCGAUACUGACGCUGAGGUGCGAAAGCGUGGGGAGCGAACAGG
rnacentral:rRNA from 1 species